UCUUGUGACCACAUCAGUGAAUUGCACUUCCAUGGCAGUGAUCGAUCGACGUAUCACAGCAAGAUCCUCCAAGUCAGCAACGACCUUUGUCAGCAUUACCGACAUGUUCAACAUCUCUCGCCGUAUUUCCCGCAACUCACAGACCAAAUCGACUCCCUGGUCCGCUGCCUUCUCAGGUGUGUCAGCCUGAGAACGUAAGUGUCUUUUAAUGUCUCCAGAGCCCGAGGAUUUUGAAUUCUUUGACAUAUUGUCCUCUAAGAACAGUUAUGGAAUAGAGUGUAUCGAAUCUCAAAGGUUUAUGUCAUUAAAAGGUAUUAAAACUAGCAAAGUGCGUAGAGCUCACCGUUCACACAUCCGAUCCUCACAUGGCAUCACGUGACUCUGAGAUGGUUGGAUUUAAAAUAGCAGAAUAGGCCAUUACAUUGGACUGCAGUACAUCCAGGUCCUUGGCCAAAGGUGCCACCACCUGUGAGACAGAAAAGAGAGAGAUUAAAAAAAUAAACAAUUACACAAACAAUUAGUAGUAAUUUUAGAUCAAGUUACCAAUUAUGACAGAAUAAUUCCUUAAUGAAGAGAUCACCCAAAAAUGUAAAUUCUGUCAUUUACUCACCAUCAUGUCAUUCCAACUGCAUAUGCUGUCAUUUUUUCAGUGGGACACAAAAAUAGAAUUUAGAAGAUGUUCAUGCUGCUCUUUUACAUAUAAUGAGAAGUUUCCUUACAAGUCCGAGGAUACGUCAUUUGCUGAUGCUACUGUAAGCUCCGCCCAAGAGUGACGAUCUCUGAAGCCCUUUAAAAUCACACCAGUUUAUUGGCAGAUAGCACUUGAUGCUACAUCCACGAUGCGCAUAUCAUCACGGGCAUAUAAGGGAGGGGAUUGUUUUCUGCUUCCUUGUGGUUCUCCGAUGAACAAGCUACAUUGCGCUUUUCUGUUGGGUCUACACAUCUCUGCGUUGGGAAUAUUUUCUGCUUCCUGCAAGUCAGCAGCAAGCUAGAUGAGAUGUCAUCUUCCCACACCACAGCAGUGGUGACUACCAACUACAAGAGAAUGAGUAUUCAGAGGAAUACUCAUCACAUGAACAAUCACCCCCAGUGUGCUCCACAAGCUGCCAGAGGAAACAAAAAAGCUCAAGCAGAUAAAGGAGGACAAACUGAGGAAGAACUUUGAGAUUCUUAAGCAGGUAGCUAGUAGUGACUUUACCUGUCAUGAAGAUUCUGAUAACAUAUUUGGCAAGCAAGAAGCCAGUGAAAUGCAACUAUUUAAAGAUCCUAGAGAGAAAAUGCAAGCUAGGAGAGCCAUUACAAGUAUUUUUAUGAGGAACAAGAUGGGUACAUAUCUGCAUACUCUAGAGGGCAAGUAGCAUAUCCACCAGGUCCUGCUACCCAGCCAAUGUAUGCCCCCUUUGGAGAACGUGGAGCUCCACACUUUCUUUCAGCCUUUACCUUAUCAUCAGCCACCUACUUUCACUUAAUUUCAUCCUCCUCCAUCAUCAAGCUUUACACAAAUAUUCAGUGGAACUCAAGAUCAGGAUAAAAAAUGAUUGCAAUCGAGAGCAAUAAAUCAAAA